rnacentral:lncRNA from 1 species
UUUGAAAAGAGAUUUGUGUACAAGGGGAGAAAUUGAGGGUUUAGUAGAAGUGAUUGUGAGUUAUAUUAGCAUAUGUUGUGUUAAUGACUUGGAAGAACAAGACAAUGUGUUGGGAGAUUAUAUGAUGGUGAAUUUUCUAGAUUUGAUACGGGCUUGGAAUGUGGACCAACUUGGGAAGAGUUGUGAAAUGGAUGAUGCUUUAAGGUUAUUUUUCCCACUUCUGAGUGAUGAAGUUCGUCAACAGGUUAACAUGGGGCGUGGGAUGAGAUUUCUAGCUGGAAUUGUU